GACGAACGCUGGCGGCGUGCUUAACACAUGCAAGUCGAACGGAAAGGCCCUGCUUUUGUGGGGUGCUCGAUUGGCGAACGUGUGAGUAACACGUGAGUAACCUGCCCUUGACUUUGGGAUAACUUCAGGAAACUGGGGCUAAUACCGGAUAGGAUCUCCUGCUGCAUGGUGUGGGUUGGAAAGUUUCGGCGUUUGGGGAUGGACUCGCGGCUUAUCAGCUUGUUGGUGGGGUAGUGGCUUACCAAGGCUUUGACGGGUAGCCGGCCUGUGAGGGUGACCGGCAAAAUUGGGACUGAGAUACGGCCCAGACUCCUACGGGAGGCAGCAGUGGGGAAUAUUGCACAAUGGGCGGAAGCAUGAUGCAGAAACGCAGCGUGCGGGAUGACGGCCUUCGGGUUGUAAACAGAUUUCGCCUGUGAAGAAGAGUGAGUGACGGUAAUGGGUAAAGAAGCACCGGCUAACUACGUG
rnacentral:rRNA from 1 species